AGAGAAUCGCUUGAACCCAGGCGGUAGAGGUUGGCAGUGAGCCGAGACAGCUCCACUGCACUCCAGCCUAGGCGACAGAG
rnacentral:snRNA from 1 species